GUAGUAUCCUGAAAAGAAUCACGUUUUUCCCCAAGCAUAUCUGUGUGGGAGCUUUAAACAAAAGUAAAAGCCUCAUUGCAAUCCCUCCCUCCAGCCACUCUAUUCGCUCCAUGGAACCUGCGUUGUGUGUGUCCUGAUUGAUGGUAUUUCUCCUUCUUUCCUUGGGAGACAUGAGUCCUUUCUGCUGCCAGUAGAGCUCCCAGUACAUUUGUUGGUUGUGUGAGCUUUCUGUUUAGAAAACAAACAAGUGCUGUAAAGUGUGCUAAAAUGGUCUUCCUUACUCCAUUGGCUUGAGCCACCCAACACUCUGCCA
rnacentral:lncRNA from 1 species